AGCGAACGCUGGCGGCGUGCCUAACACAUGCAAGUCGAACGUGAAAAGGGAAACCUGAGUAAAGUGGCGUACGGGUGAGUAACGCGUAGGUAAUCUACCCCAGAAUCUGGAAUAACCUGCCGAAAGGCGGGCUAAUACUGGAUAGAGCGAGGGAACUCGUAAGAGAGUUUUUCGGGAAAGGGAGCCCGCAAGGGCCUUCGGUCUGGGAUGAGCCUGCGUCUCAUUAGCUAGUUGGUAAGGUAACGGCUUACCAAGGCGAUGAUGAGUAGCUGGUCUGAGAGGAUGAUCAGCCACACUGGAACUGAAACACGGUCCAGACUCCUACGGGAGGCAGCAGUGGGGAAUCUUGCGCAAUGGACGAAAGUCUGACGCAGCCACGCCGCGUGAGUGAAGAAGGCCUUCGGGUUGUAAAGCUCUGUCGGAUGGGACGAACAUCUUCAUAGUGAAUAGCUAUGAGGACUGACGGUACCAGCAAAGGAAGCACCGGCUAACUCCGUG
rnacentral:rRNA from 1 species